CUGACGCUGAGGAGCGAAAGCGUGGGGAGCGAACAGGAUUAGAUACCCUGGUAGUCCACGCCGUAAACGUUGGGAACUAGGUGUGGGUCACAUUCCACGUGGUCCGUGCCGCAGCUAACGCAUUAAGUUCCCCGCCUGGGGAGUACGGCCGCAAGGCUAAAACUCAAAGGAAUUGACGGGGGCCCGCACAAGCGGCGGAGCAUGUGGCUUAAUUC
rnacentral:rRNA from 1 species